AUUGUAUUAUUAAUGCUACUUGUCAGUCUUUGGUUCUUCAAACUGACAUAUUUUUCUUUGAUUACAGUUUAAGUCAUAGCAAAACCAAGACAGGAGUUUAUGUUAAGGAGGAAGUGAGGUUGAGUUUUGCUGUAGAUGUUGUACUUCCAGAUUCUGAAGACUGCCUAAAUAAAGUUCCCUUAGAAAUGAAGUCUCAUUUAGCUUCAGGAGGUGAUGCCAGAGUAAACUCUCCAAGAGGUAAGCAAGCAAGCCAAACUAAACUUGGGGAAUUUUAGCUCCUCCUGUACUGCAUG
rnacentral:lncRNA from 1 species